AACGAACGCUGGCGGCAGGCCUAACACAUGCAAGUCGAGCGAGGACUUCGGUCCUAGCGGCGGACGGGUGAGUAACGCGUGGGAACGUGCCCUUUGCUUCGGAAUAGCCCUGGGAGACUGGGAGUAAUACCGGAUGAGCCCUUUGGGGGAAAGAUUUAUCGGCGAAGGAUCGGCCCGCGUUGGAUUAGGUAGUUGGUGGGGUAAUGGCCUACCAAGCCGACGAUCCAUAGCUGGUUUGAGAGGAUGAUCAGCCACACUGGGACUGAGACACGGCCCAGACUCCUACGGGAGGCAGCAGUGGGGAAUCUUAGACAAUGGGGGAAACCCUGAUCUAGCCAUGCCGCGUGAGCGAUGAAGGCCUUAGGGUUGUAAAGCUCUUUCAGCUGGGAAGAUAAUGACGGUACCAGCAGAAGAAGCCCCGGCUAACUCCGUG
rnacentral:rRNA from 1 species